UUAAAAAAUUCAGUGUUGGCACCGGUUCCAACCAAAACCGGUGCCAAUCAUUUAAUUAGCACCGGUUCAAACCGGUGCCAACUUAUAAAAAAAAUAAAAUAAAUAAAUAAAUAUGGCAUAGAGGUGGCACCGGUUCGCCUUAAACCAGUGCCAACUAUGUUAUUAUUGAAAAAAAAACCGGGUCUUAGCUUCUUCGUUUUCAUUACAUUUCCUCGAUCUUUCCUCUUCUCAUCUGAUCUGCCUCUCUCUCUCCUCCAUUGAAGCGUAGUCGAAUUUCUCCAUUUAAGGGGCUUCUGAGCUUUCCUAACACUCCUUCUCUCUCCUUCUCUCUCCUUCUAUAACCACCACUUUCCCUUUCCUUUCUUCUCUCUUUCGAUCUCCUUCUCCUUCUCCUUCUCUCUUUCUAUAAUAUUGGAGGUUAGGGUUUCUGGGUGCGUCUAUUUUGAAUCAAUUCGAUGUGCGUGCGUCUUUAGCAACAACAAAUUCGAAUCAAUUUCAAACCAAAAAUCAGAAAUUCGAGGUUAGGGUUUCUGGGUUAUUUAGCUUUGCGUUAUAUUGUAGCAGUUCUGAGCAUUCUCCUUCAUUGAAACAACUUCUGAGGCAAAAAGAGCUGGAUAUGUUGAUGAAGGUUAAGGAAGUAAAAGGGUGUGUGGGGAAGGGGAGUGAUAAUGAUGAUGAUGGUGUUGAAAGCAAGUUUUGGAAAAACUCGACAAUGAAUUAGCCAAAGUCGAUGAAAGAGCCGCCCUUUUCUUGGUAUUUGAAGGAGGAGUCUCUGCUUUGUACUUCUUAGCAAUUGUUUCAGUCUGGUUUUCAUAUCUAGCUGUUGAUUUUAUGAUAAGACGGGUUCCAAUGACUUUCUUGGCUUUAUAACAUUUAUUUCCAUUGUUUAAUGGUCUGGUUUCCAUUUCUACGGUCUUCUUGAUCAUAUGAUAUAGCUGAUGUUGGGAGUAUUAUGGUGAUAAUGACUUUAAGUUAUUGCUGUGUCCUCUUAUGUCUCUGCUCUCCUCAACUGUUGUUCUUCAUAGUUGUCGUAUUCACGUUGAUUGGUUUUUCCCUAGGUUUUUUUUUUUCUAAAUGGAAUCAUCUAGACUGGGUCUGUGUUCCACACCACAUAGUUUCAGAUUCAAUUUUCUAUUGCUCGUUCCGAUGGAAGUUAUUGAUGAGACAUUUUAUUAAUGGCAUGAUGGUGAAAUAUGAGAGCUCUACUCCAUAUAGGGUGUCAUUUAUUCAAAUUGCACUUUAUUUGAUUGUUUUUUUAUUUGAACUUUCAUUACCAUUUAGUUUGCUGGGGUGGUCAAUUAACACCACCUUGAUUGUGUGAUAGGAAGAUGCUUUGCUUAUAGGAUUUACUGAUUUUUCCUGAACUUUUGUGGCUGAAUUUUCACAUCAGGGUUUUGUCUUACUGUGUUGUUUAUUGGGUAAUUAUUUGCUGACAAUUUGUUCCCACUCUAGGAGUUGGGCUGCUCUUCUCUUUAUCUAUCACGGUCUAUGUUUCUAUCUUCUUUUUUAAUCUAUAUUGCAUCUGCUUCAAGGAAAGUUCAGGUCCUCGUCAAUUUUUAACAGGACUCUUCAGCCUUAAGAAUUUGUGGUCUGGUAAUGUUAGUGAGAUUUAGGGGUGCCUUCAUCAUGGAUAUUGCUUAUUGUAUUUUGAGCUCUAAUUUGCGAAUUUGUCCUUGAUUAUACUAUCAAUAUGUUAUUUGUGAUUAUGGGGUGGCAAGUUGUGCUAAGUUCAUCUCUAUCCUGUCUUUUGAAAUUUUACCUUUUCUUGUUUCUGCUGCCCAAGCAUCUUUUGGUGCAACUACAUAGUGCACUAUACUUUAUUAAGCAUGCAUUUUGCUUCAGCCUUCAGGUUCAUGCUUCAUCUUAUGAUUUUAUAGAAUCAGGUUUUUUUUUUUUUUUUUUUUUUUUUUUUUUUUUUUUUUGGGUGGUACUUGGCUUAAUGCUUGUAGCUGUGAUGAUCUGUGGUACUGACAUUGCUUUGGCAUCGCAUUGGGAUUUCAUGAAAUUGAAGGUUGGAGUUCUUCUGAGCUCUAUCGUGAAUGUAUCCUGACAGUGUCAACUAGCUUGCGGCGCGACAUUACGUGUAACAUAGCCCCUUUCUUGUCAUUUAAAAAACCUAGGGAGUUUCUAAUCCUUUACUUGGAUUUGUUUCUCGCCAGCUUCUUUUAGUGUUACAGUGGCUGGAGUUCUCAAUGGCAAGCAUCAUUCUUUUGGUGCUGCUUGUAAAUUAUGGUUUCUUGAACUCGGGUUAAUAGGUUUUGCCUAUCAUUGUGCUGAUUUUGCUUGGAUUUGCUCUUCUAAGGAGCUUGCACAUAUCGGGUUUAUGUUGCUCUAGAUUUUGAUUAUUUGGUGUAACGCUGUGACUACUGGAAAUUCACAUUCGAUGAUGAUAUUUUUAUAUUCCAUUAAUCUUACGACCUUGGUGUUAUCAGGGUCAUGUUCUGUUAGAUUGGGUUUAAAUUUGUUAGGAAGUAUUAGGUGAAGGUGGAUCCUUAGAUUGUUGCAAUCAUGCAUUUGGGGAAGAUGUGAUGG